rnacentral:rRNA from 1 species
AAUCCUACGGGAGGCAGCAGUGAGGAAUAUUGGUCAAUGGGCGAGAGCCUGAACCAGCCAGGUCGCGUGAGGGAAGACGGUCCUAUGGAUUGUAAACCUCUUUUGCCGGGGAGCAAAAAGUGGUACGUGUACCGCAUCGAGAGUACCCGGAGAAAAAGCAUCGGCUAACUCCGUGCCAGCAGCCGCGGUAAUACGGAGGAUGCGAGCGUUAUCCGGAUUUAUUGGGUUUAAAGGGUGCGCAGGCGGCGAGGUAAGUCAGCGGUAAAAUUUCGGGGGUCAACCCCGACCAGCCGUUG